GAUGAAGAACGUAGCGAAAUGCGAUAAGUAGUGUGAAUUGCAGAAUUCAGUGAAUCAUCGAAUCUUUGAACGCACAUUGCGCCCCUUGGUAUUCCAUGGGGCAUGCCUGUUCGAGCGUCAUUUGUACCUUCAAGCCUUGCUUGGUGUUGGGUGUUUGUCUCGCCUCUGCGCGCAGACUCGCCUCAAAACAAUUGGCAGCCGGCGUAUUGAUUUCGGAGCGCAGUACAUCUCGCGCUUUGCACUCAGAACGACGACGUCCAAAAGUACAUUUUUACACUCUUGACCUCGGAUCAGGUAGGGAUACCCGCUGAACUUAAGCAUAUCAAUAAGCGAGGA
rnacentral:misc_RNA from 1 species